rnacentral:lncRNA from 1 species
GAUAUAUUAUGGUCUCCAUCAUAAUAUCAUCGAAACUCUUUUCGAUGGAUGGGAACAUUUUCAAUUCUAUCUUCGAGGGCCAUCGAUCAUCAAGAUGACGUCCAAUGAGUCUCACAAUCCAUCAGUAAUACCUAGUAGUAUGUAGUGGCAGCUCAGUAGAAUGAAAAUAUUGAACUCUUAGAUACAGUUAUCGUAUGAUUCAAUUUUUCUAUCGUGAGUUCCGAC